GGUUAAGCGACUAAGCGUACACGGUGGAUGCCCUGGCAGUCAGAGGCGAUGAAGGACGUGCUAAUCUGCGAAAAGCGUCGGUAAGGUGAUAUGAACCGUUAUAACCGGCGAUGUCCGAAUGGGGAAACCCAGUGCAAUUCGUUGCACUAUCGUUAACUGAAUACAUAGGUUAACGAGGCGAACCGGGGGAACUGAAACAUCUAAGUACCCCGAGGAAAAGAAAUCAACCGAGAUUCCCCCAGUAGCGGCGAGCGAACGGGGAGCAGCCCAGAGUCUGAAUCAGCUUGUGUGUUAGUGGAACGGUCUGGAAAGUCCGACGGUACAGGGUGAUAGUCCCGUACACCAAAAUGCACAGGCUGUGAACUCGAAGAGUAGGGCGGGACACGUGGUAUCCUGUCUGAAUAUGGGGGGACCAUCCUCCAAGGCUAAAUACUCCUGACUGACCGAUAGUGAACCAGUACCGUGAGGGAAAGGCGAAAAGAACCCCGGCGAGGGGAGUGAAAAAGAACCUGAAACCGUGUACGUACAAGCAGUGGGAGCACCUUCGGGUGUGACUGCGUACCUUUUGUAUAAUGGGUCAGCGACUUAUAUUCUGUAGCAAGGUUAACCGUAUAGGGGAGCCGCAGGGAAACCGAGUCUUAACUGGGCGUUAAGUUGCAGGGUAUAGACCCGAAACCCGGUGAUCUAGCCAUGGGCAGGUUGAAGGUUGGGUAACACUAACUGGAGGACCGAACCGACUAAUGUUGAAAAAUUAGCGGAUGACUUGUGGCUGGGGGUGAAAGGCCAAUCAAACCGGGAGAUAGCUGGUUCUCCCCGAAAGCUAUUUAGGUAGCGCCUCGUGAAUUCAUCUUCGGGGGUAGAGCACUGUUUCGGCUAGGGGGUCAUCCCGACUUACCAACCCGAUGCAAACUACGAAUACCGAAGAAUGUUAUCACGGGAGACACACGGCGGGUGCUAACGUCCGUCGUGAAGAGGGAAACAACCCAGACCGCCAGCUAAGGUCCCAAAGUCAUGGUUAAGUGGGAAACGAUGUGGGAAGGCACAGACAGCCAGGAUGUUGGCUUAGAAGCAGCCAUCAUUUAAAGAAAGCGUAAUAGCUCACUGGUCGAGUCGGCCUGCGCGGAAGAUGUAACGGGGCUAAACCAUGCACCGAAGCUGCGGCAGCGACACUAUGUGUUGUUGGGUAGGGGAGCGUUCUGUAAGCCUGCGAAGGUGUGCUGUGAGGCAUGCUGGAGGUAUCAGAAGUGCGAAUGCUGACAUAAGUAACGAUAAAGCGGGUGAAAAGCCCGCUCGCCGGAAGACCAAGGGUUCCUGUCCAACGUUAAUCGGGGCAGGGUGAGUCGACCCCUAAGGCGAGGCCGAAAGGCGUAGUCGAUGGGAAACAGGUUAAUAUUCCUGUACUUGGUGUUACUGCGAAGGGGGACGGAGAAGGCUAUGUUAGCCGGGCGACGGUUGUCCCGGUUUAAGCAUGUAGGCUGAUUGUCCAGGCAAAUCCGGAUAAUCAAGGCUGAGGUGUGAUGACGAGGCACUACGGUGCUGAAGUAACAAAUGCCCUGCUUCCAGGAAAAGCCUCUAAGCAUCAGGUAACAUCAAAUCGUACCCCAAACCGACACAGGUGGUCAGGUAGAGAAUACCAAGGCGCUUGAGAGAACUCGGGUGAAGGAACUAGGCAAAAUGGUGCCGUAACUUCGGGAGAAGGCACGCUGGUGUGUAGGUGAAGUCCCUGCGGAUGGAGCUGAGACCAGUCGAAGAUACCAGCUGGCUGCAACUGUUUAUUAAAAACACAGCACUGUGCAAACACGAAAGUGGACGUAUACGGUGUGACGCCUGCCCGGUGCCGGAAGGUUAAUUGAUGGGGUUAUCCGUAAGGAGAAGCUCUUGAUCGAAGCCCCGGUAAACGGCGGCCGUAACUAUAACGGUCCUAAGGUAGCGAAAUUCCUUGUCGGGUAAGUUCCGACCUGCACGAAUGGCGUAAUGAUGGCCAGGCUGUCUCCACCCGAGACUCAGUGAAAUUGAACUCGCUGUGAAGAUGCAGUGUACCCGCGGCAAGACGGAAAGACCCCGUGAACCUUUACUAUAGCUUGACACUGAACAUUGAGCCUUGAUGUGUAGGAUAGGUGGGAGGCUUUGAAGCGUGGACGCCAGUCUGCGUGGAGCCAACCUUGAAAUACCACCCUUUAAUGUUUGAUGUUCUAACGUUGGCCCCUGACCGGGGUUGCGGACAGUGUCUGGUGGGUAGUUUGACUGGGGCGGUCUCCUCCCAAAGCGUAACGGAGGAGCACGAAGGUUAGCUAAUCCUGGUCGGACAUCAGGAGGUUAGUGCAAUGGCAUAAGCUAGCUUGACUGCGAGCGUGACGGCGCGAGCAGGUGCGAAAGCAGGUCAUAGUGAUCCGGUGGUUCUGAAUGGAAGGGCCAUCGCUCAACGGAUAAAAGGUACUCCGGGGAUAACAGGCUGAUACCGCCCAAGAGUUCAUAUCGACGGCGGUGUUUGGCACCUCGAUGUCGGCUCAUCACAUCCUGGGGCUGAAGUAGGUCCCAAGGGUAUGGCUGUUCGCCAUUUAAAGUGGUACGCGAGCUGGGUUUAGAACGUCGUGAGACAGUUCGGUCCCUAUCUGCCGUGGGCGCUGGAGAAUUGAGGGGGGCUGCUCCUAGUACGAGAGGACCGGAGUGGACGCAUCACUGGUGUUCGGGUUGUCAUGCCAAUGGCACUGCCCGGUAGCUAAAUGCGGAAGAGAUAAGUGCUGAAAGCAUCUAAGCACGAAACUUGCCCCGAGAUGAGUUCUCCCUGAGACUUUAAGUCUCCUGAAGGAACGUUAAAGACGAUGACGUUGAUAGGCCGGGUGUGUAAGCGCAGCGAUGCGUUGAGCUAACCGGUACUAAUGAACCGUGAGGCUUAACCUU
rnacentral:rRNA from 1 species